UCCGUUAUGGUGUAGUGGCUAACAUUAUCGCCUCUCAUGGAAUGUUCCUAAUCAUUACUUAAGAGCGCGAUAGCCCAGGGUUCGAUUCCCUGUAACGGAA